rnacentral:rRNA from 1 species
UACAGAGGUCUCAAGCGUUGUUCGGAUUCAUUGGGCGUAAAGGGUGCGUAGGCGGCCGGUUGCGUCUGCUGUGAAAUCCCGGGGCUUAACCCCGGGCGUGCAGUGGAUACGGGCCGGCUGGAGGCAGGCAGGGGAGAAUGGAAUUCCCGGUGUAGCGGUGAAAUGCGCAGAUAUCGGGAGGAACACCGGUGGCGAAGGCAGCUCGCUGGGACGGUACUGACGCUGAGGCGCGAAAGCGUGGGGAGCAAACAGG